GAGGGACAGGGAUGGAUGGGAGUGUUGGCUUGGGAAGCUCAGGGACAUGAGGCAGCUCUGGCUUUGGGAUUGUUGGCAACUCGGGUUUCGGUAGAGCUGGGACAUGGGGAAGUUCCACCUUAGGUAGUUCGGGUUUUGGUAGAGCUGGGACAUGGGGAAGUUCCACCUUAGGCAAUUCAGGUUUUGGUAGUGCUGGGACAUGGGGAAGUUCCACCUUAGGCAAUUCGGGUUUUGGAAGUUCCACGGGUUUUGGAAGUUCCACCUUGGGCAAUUCGGGUUUUGGAAGUUCUACGGGUUUUGGAAGUUCCACCUUAGGCAAUUCAGGUUUUGGAAGUUCUGCGGGUUUUGGAAGUUCGACCUUAGGCAUUUCAGGCAAGGUUGUCUCCAAGAGGUGGCGAGCGUCUGCAAACAAUUCUGUGCCACACAUUGAUGUUAGUG
rnacentral:lncRNA from 1 species